rnacentral:snRNA from 1 species
UUGUUCUCACUUCUGCAACACAUACACUAAAAUUGGAAUGAUACAGAGAAAAUUAGCAUAGCGCCUAUGCAAGGAUGACACACAAAAUUGUGAAGUGUUCCAUAUUUUU